rnacentral:lncRNA from 1 species
AACGAAGCCUCCAGGAAGAGAAAGUCUACCCUCUCUGUUUUCCCUUCUCUCUCUACCCUCUCUGUUUUUUUUUUGGUGACCCUACUUACUGCUAGUUAGCUUUAACGAGGGUACAAUUCAGAAUUUGAUGCUUCAUUAACUGAACAAGCUGAAUUGCUAGAGUGUUGGUUUAAUGGUUGAGAUGUUAAUGAUGGCAUCCUCAUUUCUUCUGUACUAUGUAGGAAAAAUGCUGGCUUUUGAGGCAAUGGCAUAGUUACCGAGUAACUGCUUAGCAUGAGAACUACGGUUUGCAUUGUAGGUCUCUUCUCUGGAUCUUCUUGGACACACAGUAAAGCAAUAUGGAUACAUCUGAUUACUUCAUUUCUUGAAUAAGAACGUCUUAGAUUUCGAUCCAGCAACUCUUCUGGCGUCCCAUCCCUCCAAUGGUUCCAAGCCUAGAAUUUUUUCAUUUCAUGAAUCCAUUAGAAUGUAAGAAACUUGCAAUCUUGAAAAAAUUAUUUACUUGCUCAGAUAUCUGAAUUCAACUUAUACUCACAUAGGUCAAGAGGUAUUCGCCACGUUCGGAUUGAAAGCUAGUGUUCUUCUCGCUGGUUACAAUCUCUAAGAUCAAGACACCAAGACUGUACACAUCAGAUUUCACCGAGAACUGUCCGUGCAUUACGU